rnacentral:rRNA from 1 species
UACGUAGGGUGCGAGCGUUAAUCGGAAUUACUGGGCGUAAAGCGUGCGUAGGUGGUGGUUUAAGUCUGCUGUGAAAGCCCUGGGCUCAACCUGGGAAUUGCAGUGGAUACUGGAUCACUAGAGUGUGGUAGAGGGAUGCGGAAUUUCUGGUGUAGCAGUGAAAUGCGUAGAGAUCAGAAGGAACAUCCGUGGCGAAGGCGGCAUCCUGGGCCAACACUGACACUGAGGCACGAAAGCGUGGGGAGCAAACAGG